CGGAGGAUCCAAGCGUUAUCCGGAAUCAUUGGGUUUAAAGGGUCCGUAGGCGGGUUUAUAAGUCAGUGGUGAAAGCCCAUCGCUCAACGAUGGAACGGCCAUUGAUACUGUAGAUCUUGAACUAUUAGGAAGUAACUAGAAUAUGUAGUGUAGCGGUGAAAUGCUUAGAGAUUACAUGGAAUACCAAUUGCGAAGGCAGGUUACUACUAAUGGAUUGACGCUGAUGGACGAAAGCGUGGGUAGCGAACAGGAUUAGAUACCCUGGUAGUCCACGCCGUAAACGAUGGAUACUAGCUGUUCGGAGCAAUCUGAGUGGCUAAGCGAAAGUGAUAAGUAUCCCACCUGGGGAGUACGUUCGCAAGAAUG
rnacentral:rRNA from 1 species